UCCCUGGUGGCUCAGACGGUAAAGCGUCUGCCUACAAUGCAGGAGAUCCAGGUUCAAUCCCUGGGUUGGGAA
rnacentral:tRNA from 1 species